rnacentral:rRNA from 1 species
AGAGUUUGAUCCUGGCUCAGGACGAACGCUGGCGGCGUGCUUAACACAUGCAAGUCGAACGGACCUUAUUUGGAGGAAGCUUUCGGGUAGACACUGAAUAAGGUUAGUGGCGGACGGGUGAGUAACGCGUAGAUAAUCUACCUUAAAGACUGGGACAACAGUUGGAAACGACUGCUAAUACCGGAUAAGCUAAACGGAAGGCAUCUUCUGUUUAGGAAAGGAGGCCUCUUAACAAUGCUCCCACUUUUAGAUGAGUCUGCGUCUGAUUAGCUAGUUGGUGGGGUAACGGCUUACCAAGGCGACGAUCAGUAGUCGGCCUGAGAGGGUGACCGGCCACAUUGGGACUGAGACACGGCCCAAACUCCUACGGGAGGCAGCAGUGGGGAAUCUUCCGCAAUGGGCGAAAGCCUGACGGAGCAACGCCGCGUGAUCGAAUGAAGGCCUUCGGGUUGUAAAGAUCUGUUGACAGGGACGAAUAAGCCAUGCGAAUAGUUUGGUGUAUGACGGUACCUGUUUAGAAAGCUCCGGCUAACUACGUGCCAGCAGCCGCGGUAAUACGUAGGGAGCAAGCGUUGUCCGGAAUUACUGGGCGUAAAGGGCGCGUAGGUGGGUGCUUAAGUCAGGUGUGAAAACUCUGGGCUCAACCUGGAGACUGCACUUGAAACUGGGUAUCUUGAGGGCAGGAGAGGAAAGUGGAAUUCCUAGUGUAGCGGUGAAAUGCGUAGAUAUUAGGAGGAACACCAGUGGCGAAGGCGACUUUCUGGACUGUACCUGACGCUGAGGCGCGAAAGCGUGGGUAGCGAACGGGAUUAGAUACCCCGGUAGUCCACGCCGUAAACGAUGAAUACUAGGUGUAGGAGGUAUCGACUCCUUCUGUGCCGCAGCAAACGCAAUAAGUAUUCCGCCUGGGGACUACGGUCGCAAGACUAAAACUCAAAGGAAUUGACGGGGACCCGCACAAGCGGUGGAGCAUGUGGUUUAAUUCGACGCAACGCGAAGAACCUUACCAGGGCUUGACAUCCCUCGCUAUCUGUGGAAACACGGAGUUCCGUAGCUUGCUACGGACGAGGAGACAGGUGGUGCAUGGUUGUCGUCAGCUCGUGUCGUGAGAUGUUGGGUUAAGUCCCGCAACGAGCGCAACCCCUACGUCCAGUUGCCAGCACGUUAAGGUGGGAACUCUGGAGGAACUGCCGGUGACAAACCGGAGGAAGGUGGGGAUGACGUCAAAUCAUCAUGCCCUUUAUGUUCUGGGCUACACACGUGCUACAAUGGCCGGUACAGAGGGCGGCGAAGCCGCGAGGUGGAGCGAAUCCCAAAAAGCCGGUCUAAGUUCGGAUUGCAGGCUGCAACCCGCCUGCAUGAAGUCGGAAUCGCUAGUAAUCGCGAGUCAGCAUAUCGCGGUGAAUACGUUCCCGGGUCUUGUACACACCGCCCGUCACACCAUGGGAGUUGGCAACACCCGAAGUCGAUGAGCUAACCGCAAGGAGGCAGUCGCCUAAGGUGGGGUUGAUAACUGGGGUGAAGUCGUAACAAGGUAACC